rnacentral:snoRNA from 1 species
ACCUGGUGGUGUGGACAGCUUACAGGAAGCUUCUUAAAUCUCUUCUAGUACUCGUACAAGCUCUCCCCACCAAGCUGCCUAAUACCAGAAAUAUCUUUCCUUAUGGU